AUAAAAAUAACAUACUGCUUAAAUUACUGAAAGGGAGCUCACUUCUCGUGUAGAUAGUAGUUUACUGUGGUCUUUGGUGGCUCUGACAAACGGGAACAAAUGAUCAAAACCAUCAAACUUAACGAACAUCUUUUCGCUUCUUUUGUGUAUAAUCCUGUUUAAUCUCGAAUUUUAUCAGUUUCGGUGACCAAAUAAUACAACGCAGACAAAAAGUUCCUAGAUUGACAAAGCAAUUUUUAUAAGUAAUGAGAAAUGUUUUAUUGACAAAGCAUAUAGGAAAUAAAAGUGUCAGAUCUCAAUUAUUGCAUCUGCAUCAUGUACAAUGCUGAAUUCGCACCAAAAUGCCAACAAAGAAAUGCAUCUAUGUUUAAGGCUAAGUAUGCAUAUAGGAAAUAAAAGUGUCAGAUCUCAAUUAUUGCAUCUGCAUCAUGUACAAUGCUGAAUUCGCACCAAAAUGCCAACAAAGAAAUGCAUCUAUGUUUAAGGCUAAGUAUGCAUAUAGGAAAUAAAAGUGUCAGAUCUCAAUUAUUGCAUCUGCAUCAUGUACAAUGCUGAAUUCGCACCAAAAUGCCAACAAAGAAAUGCAUCUAUGUUUAAGGCUAAGUAUGCAUAUAGGAAAUAAAAGUGUCAGAUCUCAAUUAUUGCAUCUGCAUCAUGUACAAUGCUGAAUUCGCACCAAAAUGCCAACAAAGAAAUGCAUCUAUGUUUAAGGCUAAGUAUGCAUAUAGGAAAUAAAAGUGUCAGAUCUCAAUUAUUGCAUCUGCAUCAUGUACAAUGCUGAAUUCGCACCAAAAUGCCAACAAAGAAAUGCAUCUAUGUUUAAGGCUAAGUAUGCAUAUAGGAAAAUUCCUCUUUUUGCCUUGAGACUCUUGUUUCUUUCAAUCCAUACAGCACUCCACCAGAUUGUGGUGAGGCAUGCCUCCUUGACCAAGUGGAACAGGAAGCUCUCAAGGGAGCUUUGUUGCAAUAGAUAUCCAUAGCCAUACACAAUUGACAGAAGAUGCAUGCCCUAAGUAAUCAAUGUCAGAUAUGAAUGUUGAUCGUGCUCCAAGAUAACAUUUCAAUGGAAAUCAUCUUUGACUAGUAUGAUGAAUCCUAAAAUUCACCACAGCCGGUCGCACUGACAUUGCUUGAAACAAAAUUGGCAAGAAUGCAAGAUCACUUGACUUUCUCUGGUCACUGCCAUUCACCUUGCCUUCCUGAAAAUUAGCAAGAAUGCC
rnacentral:lncRNA from 1 species